rnacentral:sRNA from 1 species
CUGGUUUCUUCUGAUGAUGGGGCUCAAAAUUCGUUUGACUGCCUGGAGGAGGGCCUUAGUUCAAACCUGGAUGAAGGCGAGGAACUGGUGUAACUCAAGAAGCUUGGGAGGGGUUGAACAAGCCUGUCCGAUUUUUGCCCACAUCCACAGCCUUGGAAAUCAUGCUCAUCUCCCUCGGCCUACGCAGCGCCUCCAGCAUGAUCACUGGGGCCAAGGAGGGAAUUUAGGUUUGGCUACGGUGCCAAAUUUUUGGUAUGAUGCAAGGAGGAUUUCAAAAUCACAUUACAAUACCAACUAAUCUAGCCGGAAAUUCGACUCCUGUUCUCCAGCCCUGUUUGAUAUCGACUGCAGGCAUGUCUUGAACCAACUUACUCAGCUUGUGUGAAAUCAAAUUUUAUGGGAUAUUGGCCUCAGCGGCAUUGCAUUGACAUACAUUCUGAUUGGGAUAAUAUGUUUUUUGAAACCGUCCAUUUGUGUCAUCAAAAUGGGGUUUUGCAUGAACUUCUGUAUUUCUGGGAGAACCAUCCUGUCAAGAAAACCAUGAAAAGACAUACAGCGGGAUAUUACCAAUUCACCUGGAAAAAAAAAAAGAAAAAAAAAAGAAAAAAAAAGAAAAAAAAAGAUCCCGAAACGGCAAUUGGAUGUUCUCACCUCUAACCUCAACUUUCGUGCCGAUUAUAAAAAAACUUACUCAUCUGGCACCCAUUCUCCAUCCUUCUUUAUCCACUUGGGUAAUUUGUCGUCCUGUCUUAGCUUAACAAGUUGCGUAGGAAUGCGCAGCUUCCAAGGCUUUCCUUGUGGGAUCUCUUCGCCUGGCUUCUGCGCUCUCUCCGCAAUCUCAUCAGCGAUCGGAAGGAAAAGCUCGCUGGAUAUGGUCGGAAGUGGCCCGCCGUUCCAAAGCUCGCCGAACUGCAGGAAACUAUCCCGAUAUAUUUUCAUCAGUAUAGGGUAGCAAACUCAUUAAAUAACUGCUUCAACAGUACAACGGAAGAUUGGCGUUGAACACAUACUGGUCAAUAGCAGCCUCGAAUCCAGGUCUCGCUGGGACUUGAACUCGGGCGAAGCCUGCUUUAAGGAACUCAUCGAAUUGCGGAUCUGGGUCCUCGAAUGCCAGUCGCUGCGCCCAAUAGGGCUUACGUCCCCAAAAGUACGGGUACAUAACGUACACUGGUCGAUUUGUGAGUCCACGUCAUAGGAGACCUUCGUGGGUAAAUGCACUUGUUCCACUCACUUAUCUGCUCCCAUUCAAACGCUUGCUCGAAAAAUCGAACGUAUUCCCCUUCGGCUUCAGCCUCGUAGAGAUUGAUUUGAGGAUACGCCCAAGGCCCGAUUGAAAUAGAGUUGAAGCGGUCAAAAUGCUGUCCGGUGAUAAUGGAGAUACAGUUUUUCUUUAACUCCUGCUUUAUUGUGGCUUGGUUUGCGACAGGGUUUCUUUGGAAACGAAAGGUAAUUCCUUGCUGCAGCUGCAAAGUCGCCAACUUCUCCUCGUACUCUUGCAAUCUUGCUUUAUACGCAGUCAUGAGCUUUGCAUGUGUAUCAGCUCUCCACUUGUUGGUCGCGUCCUCUGUGACUGCACACUUGAUAUCUACCGUCACAAUAAUGCUAGAAGUGUUCCAUGUUUUUACUCCCCAUGGAAUGGUUCCUCUUUGUUUAUCGACAGACAACGGGAUAAGAAAACCAGCGCCCUGCUUGAAUCGGCACGUCUCAUUCCCAACAAUGACGUCGGCCACCCAGUUUUCUUCCCAGUAAUUUACCGCACACCCCACGACUACGUGCACAGCUUCAUAGCCUGACUCGAUUGUGAUCUGGCCGGUGUGCUGGUAAUCUUGCUCGGGCUUGCCAUCACCUUUGUUGAUUUGGUCCGUCGCAGUGAUGUAAUCUGCAGGCGGGGGCCCAACGUCGGUUGCUUCGUACACUUUAACCCAAUGGCCAUAAUUGUCCUCACCUUCUUCUGAAAUUUGGGAAGGCUCCAAGUCGAACUUUUGCGGUUUUUCCAGCAUCGUUUUGGUUUCCGCGGCUUUCGUCAUGGUGUUAAUUACCCAUGCAGCUGGCUCGGGAACCAUAAAAUCACUGAUUAUUUCGUGAACAUGUGCGUCUUUGGAAACCAGACAGGAAGGGAUACUCACAACAGGGGCUACUUGGGUAUUACUUACACCUUAUUCACCCACUGGUAAACGCCAGAUAUAUUCACAUUGCCGGUAGUAUUAUCGAUACCAUGGGAGUUCUUCUCCACGACUUCAGACUACG